rnacentral:rRNA from 1 species
UACGUAGGGUGCGAGCGUUAAUCGGAAUUACUGGGCGUAAAGCGUGCGCAGGCGGUUUUGUAAGCCAGAUGUGAAAUCCCCGGGCUCAACCUGGGAAUGGCAUUUGGGACUGCAAGGCUGGAGUUUGGCAGAGGAGACUGGAAUUCCUGGUGUAGCAGUGAAAUGCGUAGAUAUCAGGAGGAACACCGGUGGCGAAGGCGGGUCUCUGGGCCGAUACUGACGCUGAGGAGCGAAAGCGUGGGGAGCGAACAGG